rnacentral:rRNA from 1 species
UACGUAGGGGGCGAGCGUUGUCCGGAUUUAUUGGGCGUAAAGAGCUCGUAGGCGGUUCGAUAAGUCGGAUGUGAAAUCUCCACGCUCAACGUGGAGGGGCCAUUCGAUACUGUCGUGACUCGAGUCCGGUAGGGGAGUGUGGAAUUCCCGGUGUAGCGGUGAAAUGCGCAGAGAUCGGGAGGAACACCCGUAGCGAAGGCGGACACGUCUGGGCCGGUAC